rnacentral:rRNA from 1 species
CGCGAAGAACCUUACCUGGCCUUGACAUGCAUGUGGUAGAACCAUGAAAGUGGGACGACCCCGCAAGGGGAGCAUGCACAGGUGCUGCAUGGCUGUCGUCAGCUCGUGUCGUGAGAUGUUGGGUUAAGUCCCGCAACGAGCGCAACCCUUGUGUCCUGUUGCCACCCUUACGAGAGUAAGGAGCACUCUGGACAGACUGCCUCGCUUAAACGGGGAGGAAGGUGGGGAUGACGUCAAGUCAGUAUGGCCCUUACGGCCAGGGCUGCACACGUACUACAAUGCAUGGCACAAAGGGAAGCUAGGCCGUCAGGCGGAGCAAAUCCCAUAAAACCAUGCCCAGUUCAGAUUGUCGUCUGCAACUCGACGACAUGAAGCCGGAAUCGCUAGUAAUGGCGCAUCAG